GGUGUUGGGGUCGUACUCCAACCCUAGGAUAUGUCCUUAAUGGACCCAACUUGAUUAACGACCCAUUGGGCAAAAAUAAGGUAAAGCAGCACCUUUGGACAGAAAAGCCUCUUAGUAUUAAUUCGAUCAAUGUGGCCGCCUCAGAAUAUAUAUGGGCUUGAGUCCGGAUCCAUAUGAAGUACUUGAACGCCCCAAUCCAAG
rnacentral:lncRNA from 1 species